rnacentral:rRNA from 1 species
AUCUCCCUAAUGGAGGGGAAUAACUAUUGGAAACGGUAGCUAAUGCCACAUAAUGUCGUAAGACCAAAAUGGGGGACUUAAUUUUUUAAGCCUCAUGCCAUUAAAUGAACCCAGAUGUGAUUAGCUAGUAGGUGAGAUAAUAGCUCACCUAGGCUACGAUCUCUAGUUGGUCUGAGAGGAUGACCAGCCACACUGGAACUGAGAUACGGUCCAGACUCCUACGGGAGGCAGCAGUGGGGAAUAUUGCACAAUGGGGGAAACCCUGAUGCAGCUAUACCGCGUGUGUGAAGAAGGCCUUAGGGUUGUAAAGCACUUUCAGCGGGAAAGAAAGUGAUAUUAAUUAAUAAUUAAUAUCAAUUGACGUUACCCGCAAAAGAAGCACCGGCUAACUCCGUGCCAGCAGCCGCGGUAAGACGGAGGGUGCAAGCGUUAAUCGGAAUUACUGGGCGUAAAGCGUAUGCAGGCGGUUUAUUAAGUCAGAUGUGAAAGCCCUGGGCUUAACCUAGGAAUUGCAUUUGAAACUGAUAAGCUAGAGUCUCGUAGAGGGGGGGAGAAUUCCAAGUGUAGCGGUGAAAUGCGUAGAGAUUUGGAAGAAUACCAGUGGCGAAGGCGCCCCCCUGGACGAAAACUGACGCUCAAAUACGAAAGCAUGGGGAGCAAACAGGAUUAGAUACCCUGGUAGUCCAUGCUGUAAACGAUGUCGAUUUGAAGGUUGUAGCCUUGAGCUAUAGCCUUCGAAGCUAACGCAUUAAAUCGACCGCCUGGGGAGUACGACCGCAAGGUUAAAACUCAAAUGAAUUGACGGGGGCCCGCACAAGCGGUGGAGCAUGUGGUUUAAUUCGAUACAACGCGAAAAACCUUACCUACUCUUGACAUCCAGAGUAUCAAACAGAAAUGUUUGAGUGCCUUCGGGAACUCUGAGACAGGUGCUGCAUGGCUGUCGUCAGCUCGUGUUGUGAAAUGUUGGGUUAAGUCCCGCAACGAGCGC